CCUCUCUAGGGUUGCAUCAUGUUCCCUUGUGUGGAUGGACCACGUUGUGUUUUUCUUCAUCCACUGAUGGUCAUUUGGGUUGAUUCCACUUGAGAUGUUUUUUAACCUACGACUCAGGACACCUGGACUAGAUUAUUCAUGAUUUCUUCCAGAUCUGCGAUCUUAGAUUUAAAUAAAUAGCAGUGUGCCAUUUGGGUCACAGAUGUUAGUUCUGUGUGAAACAGAUCUAUAGAUAGGAAGAAGAAGUUUAACGAAGAGAAGAUACAGACGGGCUGUGAAAAGUACCUGGGAAGAAAUUGAAACUGCAACAGGGAAAUGAUGAUAAAGUUUUUGGUGUGCAAUGGAUUAUAAAAGGCGCUAUACAACGGAGAGAAUGUGUCCUUAUUGUGUUCAGAGGAUGAGAAGACUCAGGGCUACAUGUGCAGG
rnacentral:lncRNA from 10 species